rnacentral:rRNA from 1 species
UGGGGAAUAUUGCACAAUGGGGGAAACCCUGAUGCAGCCAUGCCGCGUGUGUGAAGAAGGCCUUCGGGUUGUAAAGCACUUUCAGUAGGGAGGAAAGGUAAUAACUUAAUACGUUAUUGCUGUGACGUUACCUACAGAAGAAGGACCGGCUAACUCCGUGCCAGCAGCCGCGGUAAUACGGAGGGUCCGAGCGUUAAUCGGAAUUACUGGGCGUAAAGCGUGCGCAGGCGGUUUGUUAAGCGAGAUGUGAAAGCCCCGGGCUCAACCUGGGAAUUGCAUUUCGAACUGGCGAACUAGAGUCUUGUAGAGGGGGGUAGAAUUCCAGGUGUAGCGGUGAAAUGCGUAGAGAUCUGGAGGAAUACCGGUGGCGAAGGCGGCCCCCUGGACAAAGACUGACGCUCAGGCACGAAAGCGUGGGGAGCAAACAGGAUUAGAUACCCUGGUAGUCCACGCCGUAAACGAUGUCUACUCGGAGUUUGGUGUCUUGAACACUGGGCUCUCAAGCUAACCCAUUAAGUAGACCGCCUGGGGACUACGGCCGCAAGGUUA